CCUACGGGAGGCAGCAGUGGGGAAUAUUGCACAAUGGGGGAAACCCUGAUGCAGCGACGCCGCGUGAGCGAUGAAGUAUUUCGGGUUGUAAAGCCCUAUCAGCAGGGCGGAAAAUGACGGUACCUGACUAAGAAGCCCCGGCUAACUACGUGCCAGCAGCCGCGGUAAUACGGAGGGGGCAAGCGUUAUCCGGAUUUACUGGGUGUAAAGGGAGCGUAGGCGGCUGUGCAAGCCAGAUGUGAAAGCCCGGGGCUCAACCCGGGGACUGCAGUUGAAACUGGGUGGCUGGAGUGUCGGAGAGGCAGGCGGAAUUCCUGGUGUAGCGGUGAAAUGCGUAGAUAUUAGGAGGAACACCGGUGGCGAAGGCGGCCUGCUGGACGAUGACUGACGUUGAGGCGCGAAAGCGUGGGGAGCAAACAGGAUUAGAUACCCGGGUAGUC
rnacentral:rRNA from 1 species